UACGGAAGGUGCAAGCGUUGUUCGGAAUGACUGGGCGUAAAGCGCACGUAGGCGGGUUCGUAAGUCGGAUGUGAAAGCCCCAGGCUCAACCUGGGAAUGGCAUCCGAAACUCCGAAUCUUGAAUGCCUGAGAGGUUGGUGGAAUUCCUGGUGUAGGAGUGAAAUCCGUAGAUAUCAGGAGGAACACCGGAGGCGAAGGCGGCCAACUGGUGGUGCAUUGACGCUAAGGUGCGAAAGCGUGGGGAGCAAACAGG
rnacentral:rRNA from 1 species